CUCAACAAUAGUAAUGGCCAUUUCGAUGAUGGGUGCAAAAGAUGUCGGUCCUUCCAUAGAAAAUAUAAAAAUGUGCAUUAGAACUUAGAAUUUGGUGGUAGAACAUUAUUAAUGCUCUAACAUGGACUAAUGGAAUAAAUAGAAGCCACGCCUGCAAGUCCAAGUUGGGGAACAAUUUCUCUGUAUCGUGUCAACACUUCCUCAAAUCCAUUACAGAAUCUUUCGUCUUGAUGGAAACUGAAGACAUCU
rnacentral:misc_RNA from 1 species